rnacentral:rRNA from 1 species
GACAGAGGGUGCGAACGUUGCUCGGAAUUACUGGGCGUAAAGCGCGUGUAGGCGGCCGCGCACGUCGGGUGUGAAAGCCCGGGGCUCAACCCCGGAAGUGCACUCGGUACGACGCGGCUGGAGUCCGGAAGAGGCAGGCGGAAUUCCCGGUGUAGAGGUGAAAUUCGUAGAUAUCGGGAGGAACACCAGUGGCGAAGGCGGCCUGCUGGACCGGCACUGACGCUGAGACGCGAAAGCGUGGGUAGCAAACAGG